rnacentral:rRNA from 1 species
AAAACUCAAAAACUUAGUCUCAGUUCGGAUUGUAGGCUGAAACUCGCCUACAUGAAGCUGGAGUUGCUAGUAAUCGCGAAUCAGCAUGUCGCGGUGAAUACGUUCCCGGGCCUUGUACACACCGCCCGUCACACCAUGAGAGUUGGCAAUACCCAACGUACGUGAUCUAACCCGCAAGGGAGGAAGCGUCCUAAGGUAGGGUCAGCGAUUGGGGUGAAGUCGUAACAAGGUACC